GCGUUUGUGGGGAAAUCUUUCAGAAACAAGCAACUGCUUUGUUAAAACAAGCGAAAAACAAUAACAGCAACAACAAAAACUCCUCCAUUUUGUGAGAUCACCUAUUUCAGAUCGGAGGCGGUUACCGUUUGAGGUUGUUGCUUAGGGGGCAAGCAGGAGAGGCGUGUGCUUCUCUGAUGAUUUAUCUUAUGCUUUAUGAAGCUGCGAAGACACUGUGGAGUCUGGUGGAUGUAAAUGAGCCCAGGACUCAGUAGGAGCACGGAUCUGUGAGGAGGUGGCCUCCUGCAGGAUGUGUCCUGGCAUAGCAUGUCUUGUCCCAGCAGCCUCUCCAAGGACAGAGCUGGGAAAUGAUUUGAGGUAACCCUCAAAAUAUUUUCACCCCCACUUAUGUGGUUGCCAUCAGCUCCAGUCUCAAAUGAGAUCUAGCUAUGUCAGUUGCCCAUGCUUAUGAUUUUGCAUAGAACACGAUUAGCAAGUUAUGUGUAUGUACAGAGUACAAGGUUUAACAUGAAGUAUUUGUAUCCCAGAAUCUGAGCUUUCCUCAGCUCAGCUCUACUUCACAACAAGCUGAGAGUUUCUUUGAGGUCUUGGCCAAUUAUGGGAAGGGCUUUGGCUUUCCUGAGUGAGGACAAACCCUCACGCUGUCCAUAGCAGAUUCCCAUCUUCACAACAGAAGGUUUCAAGCUCUGCCUUUAUGAAAGGAUAUGCUAGAGUGUUUUCUGCUUUAUCUAAUGAGCAAGUAGUAUGUGAGGCAGGAGGAAGUAGGAAGAGGAGAGAUUUGGAUCAGAAUGACCAUCACUGUAGGUACGAACACCUCACCACACACAAGCUUGGAUGUAUCUUCCUGUGACACUGCCAUAGAGCUUUUAGCAUCUUGCCAUAGCAAUCAGAGGGCGAAAGGGUUCUUUGACAGUAAUCUAAGCACUCUGCAGACAUGUGCCUUUCUUUUCCGUUGUCUCUUUGUGUUCUGUCUUUGUGUCACAGUUGAUUGAUUUAGACUCUGUAAUCGCUUUGGCACACUUUAUAUGAAACUUGCCUUACUGAACACGAUUUCAAGUAAAUGGUUGAACGCUGAGACAUUGUUCCUCUGAGAGAGGUAGCUCUAGACAUCAGACGCUUUCUCAGUGACAUUUCUCCUAUAACACAUUUCGCAUGGUAGUGGAAGGACAAAGAGUUAUACAACCAAUUAGUUUCAAAGGUGGGUUUGAGAUCUGCGGCCAUCUGCCUAGGAGAGAUACUCCUCAUGAUCCACUGUGUGCUAGGAGCAGUCACUGACGUAUGUCACAGUAACAUCAGGCAGUCCCAGAUUCUGUUGGUCCCUAAGGAGGACUGUAUGUUGAGACUAGAGCACAUGCUUGAUUUCUUGUCCACUGGUUUCUAAUGGCUUUGACAUUGGUACACUGUGUACGUUUUCAUUUCUAAUUACCUAAUUCUACUUUUUAACUCUAGUAACCUGAAGAUUUCCUGAAACACUUUAACAGAGUUUCCACUGACUUUAAAGUAAGUUUAAUUUUAAAAAGUGGUUAAGUGCAGAUUUUUAUGAGGCAAAAGGAUCCAGAAUUCUCUUUAAAAAAAUAUGGCUGUUGCAAAAACUCUCAGAGCAAUUUUUCAGAGUGACAGGAAUAACAUAUGUGGCAGGAUGAGCAGCAGUCAAUCUCACAGCGCUAAAAUCUCUUGAUUGAGAUUGAGAUGCUAAAAUAUCUUGAUUGAGCAAAGCAUUCAUUUGUGGAUGUAGAAAUAGGGCCAGGAGAAGAUCUGAUUGUCUUCUAAACCACCAGUAAAUGGCAUGGAAGUGCCUAUACCUUGCAGCCACCUCUGUCUCUGUGAGAAACUCAUAGAUGAAAAAUACAAAGGAUUUAUUUUGUUGGACCACAGACUGCUUGUUAAGACCUUGCUUAUUUUAUCAUCCGUAAAACAUGAAAACACAAACACGAAGAUUUACACCAUAUAUCUAACCUGCCAUCAGCUAGCUAAUCUGUGGUGUAUAAAUAGAGAUGCUAAUCACUAGAUUUGACACUUAUCUUCAAUAAUAUAAGAUAAAUUUCAGUUUAAUAUGAUAGCAGGCUCCAUACUGUGUUUGAACACUUCUCUCAACCGCUAUUUUCAGCUCUUGAGCCAGCUUUUCAGCAGGAGAGGGCUGCUGGGAAAAGUCACCUUUUCAGUGCCACUCUGAAGACAGCACUGCUAGCCAGGAGUGCUUUCUAGCUUUGCUUUUUAAAAAUUGUACCCAUUCUCUACUUUACUUUCCAGCAUUUUGCAUUUGAUGAGCAAAUAAGUUGCCUAUCUUCUCAUAUUUAAGAAAAUAGAUAGUUCUUGUCCUGGUGCUGAUAAGGGGGACUGCACAAACCGUUUUUCUGGUGGAAGAGCUGCAGCAAAGUGUCUGACACUACCUGGUAUGAAGCCAUUUCUGCUGUGUCAGACAGCAUACAGCCUCCAGAUUCAUGCUUCUUUCCAUGAACUGCUUCAAAGAAAACGUUACAUUUAAUCCUGGAGAAAUGGCCUGUGGGAAUACAAGAAAAACUGUUCAGAGCAGCAGCUGCGUAGCAAGAUAAACAGCAUGAGAAGCAAGGACACCUCUAGAAGAAGAAAGAACGGCUCACAGCUCUGACUGGAUAACCACCCGCAUGAACGGUUGAAGAAUGCUCUGUUGACAUGUAAAGGUGGAUGGGCAAGUUGUAGGGGUGGAUGGGAAAGCUACAAAAAGAAAACUUGUGGAGGUAUAUAAGUGAUGUGAGAACUUGUAAUAAACGGUUUGGAU
ensembl:lncRNA